UACGAAGGGGGCGAGCGUUGUUCGGAUUUACUGGGCGUAAAGCGCACGUAGGCGGAUUGUUUAGUCAGGGGUGAAAUCCCGAGGCUCAACCUCGGAACUGCCUUUGAUACUGGCAAUCUCGAGUCCGGAAGAGGUGAGUGGAAUUCCUAGUGUAGAGGUGAAAUUCGUAGAUAUUAGGAAGAACACCCGUGGCGAAGGCGGUUCUCUGGGACGGUACUGACGCUGAGACGCGAAAGCGUGGGGAGCGAACAGG
rnacentral:rRNA from 1 species